rnacentral:rRNA from 1 species
UGUUGGCUUAGAAGCAGCCACCAUUUAAAAAGUGCGUAAUAGCUUACUGGUCGAGCAGUUUGGCGCCGAUAAUGAACGGGAAUAAGCCGAACACCGAAGCUGCGGAUUGGUCGGUCGAUGCGUCGACCUUCCAGUGGUAGGAGAGCGUAGCAGUCAGCAUUGAAGCGGUACGGUAACGAGCCGUGGAGCGGCUGCUAGUGAUUAUGCCGGCAUGAGUAACGAUAAAACAGGUGAGAAUCCUGUUCGCCGAAAGCCUAAGGUUUCCUGGGGAAGGGACAUCCGCCCAGGGUUAGUCGGCCCCUUAGUUGAGGCUGAAAGGCGUAGACGAUGGGCAGCAGGUUAAUAUUCCUGCACCAUGUCACCGGACGAAGGUCGUGACGCAUCUUCCAAGAGUAUCCCGUGAGUAGUCGUGCGGGUCCCGCAAGGGCGAGGUCAAAUUAGGAUACCGAAGUACUUGGCGAGGAUGCCGAGAAACAGCGGCUGUAGGUUGAAGGUGGCGUGACCGUACUAAAACUGACACAGGUAGGCGAGGAGAAUAUCCUCAGGCGCUCGAGAGAACGGUCCUUAAGGAACUAGGCAAAUUGACCCCGUAAGUUCGCGAUAAGGGGACCCUCCAGACACGUUUAAUUCAUUAGAUGUGGGCUGAGGGCACAGAAAAGUGGCUCUAGCGACUGUUUAUCAAAAACACAGUUCUCUGCUAACUCGCAAAGAGGAUGUAUAGAGAAUGACGCCUGCUCGGUGCCGGAAGGUUAAGUGGAAGGGUUAGCUCCUUCGGGGGCGAAGCUCCUAAAUGAAGCCCCGGUAAACGGCGGCCGUAACUAUGACGGUCCUAAGGUAGCGAAGUUCCUUGUCGGGUAAGUUCCGACGCGCAUGAAUAGCGUAACGUAGCAACGCUGUCUCUACCGCAGACCCGGCGAAAUUGUAGUAGCGGUGAAGAUGCCGCUUACCCGCAGUUAGACGGAAAGACCCCGUGAACCUUCACUGUAGCCUAUUAUUGAGUUUGGGUGUGGCAUGUGUAGGAUAGGUGGGAGGCAUUGAAGCUGGGACGCCAGUCUCAGCAGAGCCGCCGGUGAAAUACCACCCUUGUUGCAUCUAAAUUCUAACUCGAUUCCUUGAACCAGGGUCCAGGACAGUGAUAGGUGGGCAGUUUGGCUGGGGCGGCUUCCUCCUAAAGAGUAACGGAGGAGCCCAAAGGCACCUUCAGCGCGGUUGGCAAUCGCGCGGAGAGCGUAAGGGUAUAAGGGUGCCUGACUGUGAGACCAAUAAGUCGAGCAGAGGUGAAAGCCGGGCCUAAUGAUCCGGCGUUACCGGGUGGAAGGGACGUCGCUCAUCAGAUAAAAGGUACUCCGGGGAUAACAGGCUGAUCUCUCCCAAGAGUCCAUAUCGACGGGGAGGUUUGGCACCUCGAUGUCGGCUCAUCACAUCCUGGGGCUGUAGUAGGUCCCAAGGGUUGGGCUGUUCGCCCAUUAAAGUGGUACGCGAGCUGGGUUCAGACCGGCGUGAGCCAGGUCGGUCCCUAUCUGCCGUGGGCGUAGGAAUCUUGAGGGGAUAUUUCCUUAGUACGAGAGGAUUAGGAAGUACUGACCGCUGGUGUACCGGUUGUGCCGCUAGGUGCAGCGCCGGGUAGCUAUGUCGGGAAAGGAUAACCGCUGAAGGCAUCUAAGCGGGAAGCCCACCCCAAGACGAGGAUUCCAUUCCAGCUUCGGCUGGAGGAGAGCCCUGGAAGACCACCAGGUUAAUAGGCCGGAUGUGUAAGACGCGAAAUCGUCUCAGCUAACCGGUACUAACGCUCGAUCACUUGACCAU